ACGAUGAAGAACGCAGCCAGCUGCGAGACUUGGUGUGAAUUGCAGGACACAUUGAGCACUGAUUUUUCGAACGCACAUUGCGGCCUCGGGUCCUACCCGGGGCCUCGCCUGUCUGAGGGUCGGAUGAUACUAUCAGAAGGGACAUUUGUCCCUACGUGGUCGCUUCGGAGUCUCGUGCUCCGUCGACUCAAGUAUCAGACUUCCCCGAGGCGCGGUCUGCGGCCGUGGGAAUAGCUGAGAUUCUUACGCUGCCAGCCGUGGACCGUCCUCGGACGGAAAGGUAAUGACAUAUAAAUGUCGACCUCAGAUCAGACGAGACGACCCGCUGAAUUUAAGCAUAUCAAUAAGCGGAGGAA
rnacentral:rRNA from 1 species